rnacentral:rRNA from 1 species
UACGUAGGGGGCUAGCGUUGUCCGGAAUCAUUGGGCGUAAAGCGCGUGUAGGCGGCCCGGUAAGUCCGCUGUGAAAGUCGAGGGCUCAACCCUCGAAUGCCGGUGGAUACUGUCGGGCUAGAGUACGGAAGAGGCGAGUGGAAUUCCUGGUGUAGCGGUGGAAUGCGCAGAUAUCAGGAGGAACACCAACAGCGAAGGCAGCUCGCUGGGACGGUACUGACGCUGAGGCGCGAAAGCGUGGGGAGCGAACAGG